AGCAAAACUGUUUCUCAGUAUAUUAAUAAAUUUUACGCAGAACGGACGAAUUGAUCGCUAAUUAAAUGAAGUUAUUUCAAAUAGUUUUUGUAAUCGCUUGCAUUGUUGCCGGAGUAAUUUGGCAUCCACAUAGUGUCUCAAAAUCGGUAUUCACGGUAAUGCCCAAUGGUCGCAAAUAGCGGAGGACAAAGUUUGAAGUCCAAGCAUUCUCUAUUUAAAAAAAUUUUAAGGUUUAUGUAACUGUUUAUUCUUAUGAUUUUCAAAAUAUUUUAAAAUAAACUUAAAAAAUCCCUUA